rnacentral:rRNA from 1 species
GACAGAGGUCCCGAGCGUUGUUCGGAUUCAUUGGGCGUAAAGGGUGUGUAGGAGGCUAGGUAAGUCAGGUGUGAAAUCUCAGAGCUUAACUCUGAAACUGCGCUUGAUACUGCUUGGCUAGAGGAUCGGAGGGGGUAUCGGAAUUUAUGGUGUAGCAGUGAAAUGCGUAGAUAUCAUAAGGAACACCGGUGGCGAAGGCGGCAUCCUGGACCGACACUGACGCUGAGGAGCGAAAGCCAGGGGAGCAAACGGG